rnacentral:rRNA from 1 species
GAUGAACGCUGGCGGCGUGCCUAAUACAUGCAAGUCGAGCGAAUGGAUUAAGAGCUUGCUCUUAUGAAGUUAGCGGCGGACGGGUGAGUAACACGUGGGUAACCUGCCCAUAAGACUGGGAUAACUCCGGGAAACCGGGGCUAAUACCGGAUAACAUUUUGAACCGCAUGGUUCGAAAUUGAAAGGCGGCUUCGGCUGUCACUUAUGGAUGGACCCGCGUCGCAUUAGCUAGUUGGUGAGGUAACGGCUCACCAAGGCAACGAUGCGUAGCCGACCUGAGAGGGUGAUCGGCCACACUGGGACUGAGACACGGCCCAGACUCCUACGGGAGGCAGCAGUAGGGAAUCUUCCGCAAUGGACGAAAGUCUGACGGAGCAACGCCGCGUGAGUGAUGAAGGCUUUCGGGUCGUAAAACUCUGUUGUUAGGGAAGAACAAGUGCUAGUUGAAUAAGCUGGCACCUUGACGGUACCUAACCAGAAAGCCACGGCUAACGUACGUGCCAGGAGCCGCGGUACUACGUAGGUGGCCAGCGUUAUCCGGAAUUAUUGGGCGUACAGCGCGCGCAGGUGCGUACCCAAGUCUUAUGUUAAAGGCCACGGCUCACCGUGGAAGGCCAUGGGAACUGGGAACUUCGUUCGCAAAGACAGGGAAC